AGCGAACGCUGGCGGCAGGCCUAACACAUGCAAGUGAACGAAGUCUUCGGACUCAGUGGCGGACGGGUGAGUAACACGUGGGAACGUGCCUUUAGGUUCGGAAUAACUCAGGGAAACUUGUGCUAAUACCGAAUGUGCCCUUCGGGGGAAAGAUUUAUCGCCUUUAGAGCGGCCCGCGUCUGAUUAGCUAGUUGGUGGGGUAAUGGCCCACCAAGGCUACGAUCAGUAGCUGGUCUGAGAGGAUGACCAGCCACAUUGGGACUGAGACACGGCCCAAACUCCUACGGGAGGCAGCAGUGGGGAAUCUUGCGCAAUGGGCGAAAGCCUGACGCAGCCAUGCCGCGUGGAUGAUGAAGGUCUUAGGAUUGUAAAAUCCUUUCACCGGUGAAGAUAAUGACUGUAGCCGGAGAAGAAGCCCCGGCUAACUUCGUGCCAGCCGCCGCUGUAAUAC
rnacentral:rRNA from 1 species